UAACGCGUGAGGAACCUGCCUUUCAGAGGGGGACAACAGUUGGAAACGACUGCUAAUACCGCAUGACACAUUGGGGUCGCAUGGCCCUGAUGUCAAAGAUUUAUCGCUGAAAGAUGGCCUCGCGUCUGAUUAGCUAGUUGGUGAGGUAACGGCCCACCAAGGCGACGAUCAGUAGCCGGACUGAGAGGUUGACCGGCCACAUUGGGACUGAGAUACGGCCCAG
rnacentral:rRNA from 1 species